UGUAACAGUGUACAUUUUCCAGUAUUUAUAAUUACACAAAGAUGUUCUUAUUUUGAUACACCAUAUGUAUGUACAGUGUCUUCUUCUUCUGGGUGUCUAUGGAGCUUCCUGCCCCCCUCCUUAUAUCCCCCUCUAAUAUUUUCUUUUUUCUUAUUUUUAUGUCCUUGCCCCCUUCACCUCUUCCCUGUUUCUGUCACCCUGGGGAAGAGGAGUUGGAGAAGGAGAGAUUAACACCCAGCUGUGUACUGUAUGUUGGUUUACAGAAACUCCAGGAGCCAGCAAUGAUGCAGAGGCUUUCACUCCUCCUCGAUGCCCAGAUCAAAGGGAGAUUCCUCUCCGGAGGGAAGCCACGAGCACUGAGUCUGUCUGGCCCUCAUCUCCCUCCUCCAAUUCCCCCUACCACUCUAUCUCUGCUGAGCAGAGCGGAAUACCAAUUUAAUUUAUCACACAUUAAAAAACACACUUGUAAUACUACAGCUACCAUUAGGUUGAGCAUAUGUAUUUUGGGUGUUCAAGACAAUCUACCUGAUGAGCCUAUAAAGCAAUUCAAUUA